rnacentral:lncRNA from 1 species
AAAAAUCAUUAUUAAAAUCAAUCAAUAUAUAUCUUAAACAGCCCUCAAACACCCACUUAUGGGUUCAAUCCAACCAUUACAAUUAUAUAUAUUUUUCGAACCUAAACUAGUUAGAUUUCUUACACUGAAUUGAUGUGAAUCGUACGCGCAAAUGUCUUUUGGCUUCACUGCUGGUUUGGGGCAUUUAAGUCGAUGCCUAACACAUUUAAAUACUGUAAAAUUAGUAUCUAAUCAUUGUUUAAAAUUCUUUAUUUAAUAAAUUAACAUUAUUUCCUCAAUAUCUAAACCAAAACUACACACUAGUCCAUAAUCAACCACACUUACGCUUCCCGAAUUGUUAGAUCUGAGUCGCCAAUCGAUCAAGAUUGAUUUUUUCCUAAUUACAUGUGAUUAAGGGCUUAUUAGGAAGGGUUAAACAACCCAAGAUGUUUCUGGAAAUAAAUGGAAAAAAUAAAGAAACAACAGCUCCCUUUUGUGCCUCUAGGUGCGGCACACCACCACCAAUGUAGCAAAUCGGACUGAUUUAAAACCAUAAUUGAAAUCACUUUAAAGGUUAGAAAAAUUCCCAUUAAAUCUUUAAAAUUCACCCAAAUUCCAAAUCUGGAAGUUUGGGUUUUUAACUUACAAGAUUCAUUAAGAAAUUGAAAGAAAACAAGAACUUACACAAGCUAUGUGAAAGGGGCGGCAAUGGAGUUCUUUUAUGGCAUCAAUGGAGGCCGAUCUUGAGUGCUAAAAUUUCAGAUUUAAGGCUGAAAUUUUAUGAUAAAUGACAUCAAGAAGAGGAAAAUAAUGGUGCAAGAACCCGUCGCAAAAAGAAGAGAAAUUGAUGGUGAAUCUUGGUGGCUUGGGCGACGGUAAACAGGGGAAGAAAGAAAGAAAAUUGAAGAGAAAAAAGGAGAGGAAGU